rnacentral:lncRNA from 1 species
UUGCGGAGACAGAUCGUGGAAAGGGAGUCGCGAGUUAGAUCCCUUCCCAGUUGCUGCUGACUUAGAGACAUACUCGCUGCAGGUAGUGUUAGUUUUUGGGUUCUUAUACAUACUUAUAUUGUAUCUCGCUGGAGCGAGCGUUUUGUAUACCUGGAUGCUAUAUAUGUAUAGUGAACUUCUGUUAUUACUUAUGUAUUCUCUUUAGCAGCUCUAUACUACUGGUUGUAGUAUUGUAUGAUUACAGGUACAGCUAUCGUUUCAUAUACAGAAAAAGUUUCUUUGUAUACGGCGGAUUUGUCGGCGUGCCCGGAGAAAUGAGUAAUCCGGGGCGUGACAUAUGGAUUCAGAUAUGGAUUUUGAGUGUACCCGAUCCGAACCCGAACCCGAACCCGAGNUAUAUAUAUAUAUAUAUAUAUAUAUAUAUAUAUAUAUAUAUAUAUAUAUAUAUAUAUAUAUAUAUAUAUAUAUAUAUAUAUAUAUUUGAUGUUAUAUUUGAAUUUGUAUUUUAAAAAUUUAGAUUUAAUAUAAUAUAUUUUGAAAUAUUGAAAAAGAAAUAAUUGUUUCAGGUUCAAAUUUUCGGGUUUCGGAUUUUUGGUCGGGUUCGGGUUCGGGUCUUGGGUUUAGAGUUUGAUUCGGGUUCGGUUUUUUGAAAGUCCGCCCCGAAUCCGACCCGUUGACAUCUCUACCUCGAAGGUUGCAAAAAUAGUUGCUGACUACGAUCGCGGCAUUCACUCAUUGCAAAAGUUUGCACGAUCGUUUGGAGGUGACGGCUGAGAUGACUAUAUAACGGUGCCAAAGCUCGCAAGGCAGGAGUGAUGAGAAGAUGUAGUAGAAGAACCUUCGUUGUCAUUACUGUCAGCGCGGAGAACUAUUGCGACGAGGUGGGGUAGUGGGGGAAGGCGAAGAGGUUGGGUUUAAGAUGGAAAAAAUAGGACGACGAAGGAUUUAGGAGCGAUGUACCAGUGCAAGGGUGCAAAGAACGAAAAGAUGGAAGCAAGCUUUUGGGGCGAUGUAUCGGCGUGAGGGCACAAGCAACGAAGAUAUAGGCUCAGGCAACGAAGAGAUGUAAGGAAGGUGGAAAGCAUGUGGGAAAAUGGGCCAGCAUUCAUUGUGUGGGUCCAUCACCAACCAAUAGGAUAGAUGUAGGUGGACCCUACCACUAUAGCUCAAAUUGUUGAGGUUUCGCCACGUGGAUUAAAAUCAUGAGGAUUAAUAGUAUUUUAUAGAUUUUAUAGAUAGUUAAUAGGCACAAUUGAAAGUAGUACCAAUUUGGAUCUUUCAUUACUCUGCUCGGUAAAGAGAGAGACAAUAGGGAGAGUGAGCCAAAGAGACCUCGAAGGUUGCAAAAAAAGUUGUUGACUACGAUUGCGGCAUUCACUCAUUGCAAAAGUUUGCACGAUCGUUUGGAGGUGGCAGCUGAGAUGACUAUAUAACGGUGCCAAAGCUCGCAGGGCAGGAGAGAUUAGGAGAUGUAGUAGAAGAAGCCUUCGCCAUCAUUACUGUCAGUGUGGAGAACUAUUGCGGCGAGGUGGGGUAGUGGGGGAAGGCGAAGAGGGUGGGUUUAAGAUGAAAAAAAAAGGACAGCGAAGGAUUUAGGAGCGAUGUACCGGUGCAAAGGUGCAAAGAACAAAAAGACGGGAGCAAGCUUUUGGGGCGAUGUAUCGGCGUGAGGGCGCACAAGCAACGAAGAGAUAUAGUCUCAAGCAACGAAGAGAUGUAAGGAAGGUGGAAAGCAUAUGGGAAAAUGGGUCAGCAUUCAUUGUGUGGGCCCAUCACCAACCAAUAGGAUAGAUGUAGGUGGACCCUACCACUAUAGCUCAAAUUGUUGAGGUUUCGCCAUGUGGAUUAAAAUCAUAAGGAUUAAUAGUAUUUUAUAGAUUUUAUAGAUAGUUGAUAGGCACAAUUGAAAGUAGAACCAAUUUGGAUCUUUCAUUACUAUGCUCGAUAAAGAGAGAGACUAUAGGGAGAGUGAGCCAAAGAGACCUCGAAGGUUGCAAAAAUAGUUGCUGA